GAUGAACGCUGGCGGCGUGCCUAAUACAUGCAAGUCGAGCGAAGCGGGGACGGGUGAGUAACACGUGGAUCACAUCCUCUAAGCCUGGGAUACCUUCGGGAAACCGGAGCUAAACCGGAUCCUUAUAGAUGGAUCCUCGAUGCAUUAGCUAGUUGGUAAGGUAACGGCGUACAAAGGCAACGAUGCAUAGCCGACCUGAGAGGGUGAGCGGCCACACUGGAACUGAGACACGGUCCAGACUCCUACGUGAGGAAGCAGUAGGGAAUCUGCCGCAAUGGGCGAAAGCCUGACGGAGCAACGCCGCGUGAGUGAUGAAGGUCUUCGGAUCGUAAAACUCGGUUAUUAGGGAAGCGGUACCUAAUCAGAAAGCCACGGCUAACUACGUGCCAGCCGCCGCGGUAAUAC
rnacentral:rRNA from 1 species